AUUGAACGCUGGCGGCAGGCUUAACACAUGCAAGUCGAGCGGGGUGAUGGUGCUUGCACUAUCACUUAGCGGCGGACGGGUGAGUAAUGCUUAGGAAUCUGCCUAUUAGUGGGGGACAACAUCUCGAAAGGGAUGCUAAUACCGCAUACGUCCUACGGGAGAAAGCAGGGGAUCACUUGUGACCUUGCGCUAAUAGAUGAGCCUAAGUCGGAUUAGCUAGUUGGUGGGGUAAAGGCCUACCAAGGCGACGAUCUGUAGCGGGUCUGAGAGGAUGAUCCGCCACACUGGGAGGGAGACACGGCCCAGACUCCUACGGGAGGCAGCAGUGGGGAAUAUUGGACAAUGGGGGGAACCCUGAUCCAGCCAUGCCGCGUGUGUGAAGAAGGCCUUAUGGUUGUAAAGCACUUUAAGCGAGGAGGAGGCUCUUUUGGUUAAUACCCAAGAUGAGUGGACGUUACUCGCAGAAUAAGCACCGGCUAACUCUGUGCCAGCAGCCGCCGCGG
rnacentral:rRNA from 1 species